rnacentral:rRNA from 1 species
UAGUAACGGCGAGUGAAGCGGCAACAGCUCAAAUUUGAAAUCUGGCCCUCGGGUCCGAAUUGUAAUUUGUAGAGGAUGAUUUUGGUGCGGUAUCUUCCGAGUUCCUUGGAACAGGACGCCUUAGAGGGUGAGAGCCCCGUACGGUUGAAUGCCUAGCCUCUGUAAAUCUCCUUCGACGAGUCGAGUAGUUUGGGAAUGCUGCUCUAAAUGGGAGGUAAAUUUCUUCUAAAGCUAAAUAUUGGCCAGAGACCGAUAGCGCACAAGUAGAGUGAUCGAAAGAUGAAAAGCACUUUGAAAAGAGGGUUAAAUAGCACGUGAAAUUGUUGAAAGGGAAGGAUUUGUGACCAGACUUUUUCUGGGCGGAUCAUCCGGGGUUCUCUCCGGUGCACUUUGCCCAGUAAAGGCCAGCAUCGAUUUUCGGCGGCGGAUAAAAGCAGUGGGAAUGUGGCUCCCCACGGGGAGUGUUAUAGCCCAUUGUAUAAUACGCUGCUGGGGAUCGAGGUACGCGCUUCUGCAAGGAUGCUGGCGUAAUGGUUAUCAAUCACCCGUCUUGAAACACGGACCAAGGAGUCGAACAUUUAUGCGAGUGUUUGGGUGUUAAACCCUCACGCGUAAUGAAAGUGAACGGAGGUGAGAGCCCGUACGGGUGCAUCAUCGACCGAUCCUGAAGUUUUCGGAUGGAUUUGAGUAAGAGCAUAACUGUUCGGACCCGAAAGAUGGUGAACUAUGCGUGGAUAGGGUGAAGCCAGAGGAAACUCUGGUGGAGGCUCGCAGCGGUUCUGACGUGCAAAUCGAUCGUCAAAUCUGCGCAU